AAUAUCACGUUGAAACACCGCUUCUCGUACGAUCACCGAAGUUAAGCAACGUUGAGCCUGGUCAAUACCAAGAUGGGUGACUGCUUGGGAAUACCAGGGGCUGUAAG